CCAAAACUACACACUUUAAUAACUUAAAAGACAGACUUCGGGUUCUUAAGAGCAAUAACCCUAAUCUCAUAACAGAUUUCUCGGCUUGUCAUUUUCGUUUGCUUUCUUUCUUUUGGUUUUUGAUUUUGUUUUUUCUUGUAUCGAAACGUCUCCUCUGCUUCUUUUUAACCUAUUUCAUUCAUUUGUUUAUCAGGGACGUAAACUAACAUGCCUCCAACUGUUCACUGAAAAGUUUGAAUGAAAUAUUUUAAGCCCUCUGUUUUUUGCGUUAAUUUGUAAUUCAGGUUUCGAACUGUUGAAAUCGAUGAAUGCCGAGAAGUACUUAAAGAAAGUAGGACUUGGCAAAGAGGACUACUACUUCUGGAAACAAAUUGGCAAAGCUCUGUUAUGCACGUACGUGAUAUUUGGUGCCGCCUGGCUCUACAACGAAACAUCACCGCUGGGUUGGUGGACGCUGAAGCCUCGGCCCAAGGAAGAAAGAGAAUUAGCCCACCUCUACGAGCGGCGAGAGUUUCCAUAUCCGGGUGAUGAAGAAGCAAUGCAAGAAUUCAUUGCCAAAGGGGGCAUGGUCGGCACCACAAUCGGUCCAAAAGGGUAUAUUGAAACGGAUAAAGAUGCGUUUAACUAUCAGAAGGAGUUGCAGAACAAGAAGUUCGAGCAAGAAGCUCAGAAGUUGUGGUUGAGAAUGAGGAAUGAGGUCAUUCAGGAGCUUCAAGAGAAGGGGUAUGAUUUGGAGUGAGCUUUUGUUCCGAGUUAUCUCAUGUAAGUAAAGCCUGAGUGAAUGCUGAAUGGGUUUCUGAAACAUUAAGCGCUGUUCUAUUUUAUAUUGUGAAAUGAAGGCUUAAAUAAAAUUGAAUGGUUUUGUAGAACUCUAAUCGUUAUAUGAACAACCCUUUAUUUUUCCCAGCACAAGGGUGCGAGAGCAGUCCUGCUGCAGUUAGGGUUAUUUCAUGUCUAAGAAGAAUGUUGCCCCAGGUGGUCUAAAAGUAAAGAGUAAUAUUAUCCAUCAUAUUAUCAUCUUACUUUCAUUACUUUCAUCCUAUUAAGUAAGGUAUGGCAUAUUCAUCACCAUUAAAUGAUAAAAAAUCCAACAAAUUAUCAUUCAACGGUGAUAAAUGUGCUACAUCUUAGUUAGUGAGAUGAAAUUUGGAUGGUAGUAUGGUUGGAAGAUGCCAAAUUUUGACUUUUGAAAAAAAAAAAAAAAUCUUAUCUAAAAGAUGUUUUACCGAGAUUACUUUUCUACUUUUUUGGGUCAUGGUGGAAAUCAUAGUUUCGAAUUAAAGUUGAUAUGCACAGCCUCCGCCUCAAACUCUGAUUUGUAUUUUAUGGUUUGGAAUGUGGUGUGUGGUGUGUUUAAUAUUUAUUGGUUUUAUGGACAAGUUGGUGUAGCCAUCAAUGUGUUUUUGGACGAUUUCUUUAGUGUGAUUGCUAGCUGAAUAUGCUUAUCAUUUUUGGUUAUCACACUUGACACUCGUCCACAUCAUUUUUGUCACCCGAUGUUUCCAUAAUUUUAAUUUAAACUCAGUAACUUUUUUUGUAGUAGAAGAUUUACUUUACAAUUGUUAGGUGGGUCACACUUCUUGUGAUUAAAGAUCUGGGUGAUUGUAGUUAUUGGCUGUAACAGCCUAGGCAUACUUGGUUCUUUGCCCAUGGAUAAAGCGGUGCCUCCUAGCCUCUUUGCUAAUGAUGGUUCGUUCAUGGAGAGGUUCAAACAGCUUCAACAAGUAAAGGAGAAUGAAAAGGAGAACAGUGCCAAACUAGAGGUGUCUAGACCAAUCAAAAUUAAUUCAGGGUCAUUGACUGCUAAUGCUUCCAUUAAUAAAACAAGUACAGAGUUUAAGACUAAUGAUACACGCAAGAACCCCCAGUCUGCUUCAGGUGGAAAACUUGCUUUCAGCUUGAAAAAGAAAUCAAAGAUUGUGGUGCCUCCUGUCAAGUUAGGUGCAGAUGAGGAUGAAGAUGAAAUUGAUGCUGGAAAAGUUUCAGCUGAUGCACCAGUGAAAUGACAGAAGUUAGAUCAAGUGGAUGCCUCUGAGCAUUCAUCUAGAAAAGGAUGUUGGUAAUAACUGCUUAUAUAAUUUUUCUUUUGUUUGGUUGGGUUUCUGUGGACAGUCUGCAGAUCUGUUGGUAUUUGGAUAUAAUGAGGAACAGAUUAAGAAAAGAUUCCCACUACUUUCAGCUAUC